GGAGAAUGCUGGGUUCCUCCCCUUCCCUCAGGGAUCUGGCUUUGCAGUAGCUGUAUGGAGGUCUUGAUAUUUAGGUCUGGCAGAUGGUCUUACUCUGUAAGAAAGCUUUUUGUUUUGUAUUUAGUGCUAGCUGUAUAGAAAUCCUUCUGAGUGGUUUUGUUUCACGUAGGAAUAUCACACUCAUGCUUUACCUAAUAUGAAGACUUUUAUGUGUGAUGUUUGUACAAGAGCUCUUUUUGCAUUCACUCAGGACAUUUCUCUGCAGUUUGCUUCCUGCAUGCUUCAGCCUUGAUUCAUCCUAGGUGAGCUGUGCUGCCAUUGAGACAAAUCGAUAGACUUACCACUAAAGGAGGAAAUCACUUUGUGCUUGGAAUGACUGUUGAAGGUGGUCAUCUACUGAAGAUUUUUUCAUUUUGGGACUUGAUCCAAAUCUCUAACAACUGCUUUAUUUAUUGUGCAGAAAGACAUUUCUCUUAUAUUCUCCUUUACUUAGGGCUCACUUCAAUUUCUUAGCUGAAAUUGAUAGGGUACUACAGGAUGUCACUGACCAGAUAGACAGAGGCAAACACAUCAGGUGUGUGUUAUGUUUGUGACAGUCAGCAGCAGGGUGACACGUCAGUCUGAAAUCAUGAGAAGCACUGGCACUAUCAACAGUCUGAAACAGCCUCCUACUCAAAGGCUAGGUGGUGUGUGCGAGGGCUCCUUUGUCCCUGUCAGCAGUCAACACCAACAAAGAGGGCACUGCACUUUGCAACAGACACAAAAGUCUUCCACUCAUAAGCAUGGGAGGUGAAGAGUGACAGCAGGGGAAGGCACUUCACAGCUGGAGGAUGGGCCAAAGGGCAGAGCUGGAAGGUAAGAGGAGUCAAGAGAUGAAAGACUGGAAUCUGACUGUUGAAGGCUUUCAGGUGUUUUAUGCUCUGAGGGGACUGGUCUCAAUCAAAAACAUUACAAAAGCCGAUUAGUAGAUUGCACGUGCUUUCUGGAAAGUUAUGAAAGCCUGGUGAAGGAAGAGGAGAGGGAAUGGGGACCUGCAGCUUCAUUCCAUAGGGAAGGAGACACAAAAACAAGCUCAACCUAUGAGGCUAAAUGUAGAUAAACAUACCCUGAUAACAGCUGCUCAGGGGACAGAAGUCAAACUGCGUGCACAAAGCUUUCUGUAUGCAUGAGAGAACACAUCUUUGGGUGAAGAUGCAGCAGGAAAAGAAAUAGAACAAGAAGUCAUAGUCAGAAGGACACUGAAGUCAGGGGUACAGUCACAGAAAAUAACUCUGAAAACUCUGCAGCAGACAGUUAAAAUAUCUCUGUGACUAGAGAAUAGGCUCAGAAAUUAACCCAAAUUGCAGUGUCAUUACGGAGUUUUGUAGACGAUGUGCUGCUGAGCUGAAUGCAGCUGCAGAGGCAUGCAGCACCUCUCUUCCCUUUGUCCUUCCCUCUUCGGCAAAAGGCUGACCUACAUUCCAGUGGCUCCCACUCAGGUGAUCCUGCAGUUCGUGGGGGAAGCUGCCCAGGGAGCGCGGCCCAGCCCAGCACAUCCUGCCCCAGCAGACACUGCCAGCCUGUGCUGGGAGCGGCUUUGCUGACAGCUCCUCAAUAAAUAAUGAAAGUAGAGGUCAUAUGCGAAGCUCCUAGAGCCUGGGCUCAGGUGUUCCUGGCAGGCCUAGAUACACAUGUGAACUGUGUCAAUUCUGCAAGAGCAUCAGGAUCCACAUUAAAGCCUCUGAAAUGAUAAUACAUUAAGAUAUGGUGCACUCCUGUACUCUUCUCUUGAAAAUGUCUCCUGACAUUUUCUCUUGAAGUGGCUUACUGUCAUUGCUAAUGAAGAUUUCUCGCAACAGAUCAGUUACAUGGAUUUUCCAGAAAAUAAUCAAUGACAAAAUGCUUUUUUAAUGACCUAAAAGCUGAUAAAUAUCAGAACAACUCUUCAUGGUGGCUGCUUUGCUAGGACACAAAGAGUGUCCAGAGAUCUCACAAGACUAUAGUAAGGGUUUUUCCUGAGACAAGACUAAGGGAAGAUUUAUAGCAACACCUGUAAUAUACCCAAGCCCAUACCUUCUCCGGAGCUCCCUCUGAAAGUCAAAUGCUUUAGGAAGAAGAAAGUACCUGAACGAAGAUGAUCUGUUCAAUCAUAAUACAAUCUGUUCAUGAACAUACAUUACAUACAGUCCAUAAUUGCAUGUACAUUUGCAUUCAAAUGAUUACAUUUCAAGUAAAUUUUAAGCAACAGCAAAGGUCUUAAAAUAAGGUUUGUUAGGCAAUUGACCCCAAGUAGCAUGGAAUGCAUCAAACCUGCCAAUGACUUCUAGAGAUGUUUUUGAGUCAGUCAGAGGAGGUGUUGAUUAAACACUAACGCACCCUUAGAAAUAACACAGCAAUGAGGGGUGCAUAAUGCCCUGAAUGUACACAAUGCUGCUGCUCAGGAAGUAAAAGACAUCAGCCAAAACACAAAAGGAUAUUUUCUGUUCCAAACUGCUUGUGAACUGAGAGAGAAAGCAACACAAAAUGAGGAAAACAGCAAACACCUAAAAUUCAGCAUGGACAUACUAUUCCUGUCUCUACCUUUAUGCAUAUGCAUGACCACAGAGAAGUGGCACUUACCAUGCUCAUCCA